rnacentral:rRNA from 1 species
GAUGAACGCUGGCGGCGUGCCUAAUACAUGCAAGUCGAGCGAACAGACGAGGAGCUUACUCCUCUGACGUUAGCGGCGGACGGGUGAGUAACACGUGGAUAACCUACCUAUAAGACUGGGAUAACUUCGGGAAACCGGAGCUAAUACCGGAUAAUAUAUUGAACCGCAUGGUUCAAUAGUGAAAGACGGUUUUGCUGUCACUUCUAGAUGGAUCCGCGCCGCAUUAGCUAGUUGGUAAGGUAACGGCUUACCAAGGCAACGAUGCGUAGCCGACCUGAGAGGCUGAUCGGCCACCCUGGAACUGAGACACGGUCCAGGCUCCGACGGGAGGCAGCAGUAGGGAAUCUUCCGCAAUGGGCGAAAGCCUGACGGAGCAACGCCGCGUGAGUGAUGAAGGUCUUCGGAUCGUAAAACUCUGUUAUUAGGGAAGAACAAAUGUGUAAGUAACUAUGCACGUCUUGACGGUACCUAAUCAGAAAGCCACGGCUAACUACGUG